rnacentral:tRNA from 1 species
AUUCUAGUGGCAGAUAAAGUGCAUUGAAUUUAAGCUUCAAACAUGAGAAUUAUUCUUCUAGAAUA